rnacentral:misc_RNA from 1 species
GAUGAAGAACGUAGCGAAAUGCGAUAAGUAAUGUGAAUUGCAGAAUUCAGUGAAUCAUCGAAUCUUUGAACGCACCUUGCGCUCCUUGGUAUUCCGAGGAGCAUGCCUGUUCGAGUGUCAUUAAUAUAUCAACCUUCUCUUUUUUGAGUUGUUUGGAUGUGGGGGUUUGCUGGCCUCUUAAAUGAUUCAGCUCCCCUGAAAUGCAUUAGCAGAACAACCUGUUCAUUAGCGUGAUAAUUAUCUAUGCUAUUGAAUGUGAGGGCAGUUCAGCUUUCUAACCGUCCUUGGACAAUUCAUCAUUAAUGUGACCUCAAAUCAGGUAGGACUACCCGCUGAACUUAAGCAUAUCAAUAAGCGGAGGA